GCUUCAUCUGCAAGCAGACUGGACAUUGGAAGGCAGAUUGUCCUCGUAGGAAUCAGAACAAUAAAGGUAUAUCUUAUUCUCUAGUAGUUGAAACAUAUUUAGCGGUGUUAUCUACCAGUACCUGUUUAGUGUCCGGACACAAAGGUAAACAGAGGAUUUUGGUAUUAUGCUUUGAUUGUAAUUGAUGUGGAAUGAGGAUUGUGAUUAAAUUUGGAAUGUUUGCAGUUGUGGCUAGCUAUUAAGCUCUAGCUGUGCUGUUCGUGAGGGAUCCACAGCUCCGACAACUUUUCCAACAACAAGCUUCCCUGGUCACUGGUCAACGGUCGUGCAAUUGGAUUUGGGAUACUAGUCGGAGACACAUCUCGACGUGGCAUUAUUUAGCACGAUCGGUAGAUGAAGGCGGGUACUUUUUGCUUUAUCUCUUUAGUACAUUGAUCUUAGUGCAUGAGCUAAAAAUUCAGAUAGUUACUGUGUUCAUCUUGACUCCACUCGUAUUUUUGUUAUGCUUGAAGCUUAUCCACUCGAUCUUUGAGCUACUCGUUUCUGUAUCUAUAUAGUCUCUUAUUGUUAUCCAUAAUAUUUAGUAGAUAUCAGUUACCAGAUACUAGAUAUUAGAUAUUGGAUACCAGAUACUAGAUAUCAUAUACCAGAUACUAGAUAUUAGAUAUUGGAUAUAUAGAUACUAUAUUCCAUGCUUACUUGCUUGAAUGUUGUUAUUUAUACAUCUUACUGAAUAAAUAACAAGCGAACAUGCUUGAAUGUUGUUAUAUAAACAGAAAACAGGUGUGCUACAUCAAGCCAACAUGCUCAGUAAGAUGUAUAAAUAACAACAUUCAAGCAAGUAAGCAUGGAAUAUAGUAUCCAUAUAUCCAAUAUCUAAUAUCUAGUAUCUGGUAUAUAUAUAUAUAUACUGCUGCAUUUUACACAUUAUGUCAUUGCAUGCAUGCCGACGACCAUGUCUCCCUUGUGGUUGAGAGGGUCGUUGGCCAAGGUCGCACGCUCGACCACUCAUGGGUAGUGGUAGUUUGAGCGUGUCGCUUGUCCUGUCGUGCUCCCACUCACUUACUCAUGGGUAGUAAUAGCUGGAGUUGUGAGCAGCAGGGACCCCGUUGCAGACGUAAUUAGUUAGCUACUAUGCAACUGUCCCCUCGGCCACUCGAGAGUAGUGGUAGUUGGAGUGGUGUACAGUCUGUCAUUGUCCCGGUCUCUCGACCAUACAGGGAUCCUGGUACAGGGGGAUGGGAGGGAGUGACCAUCCGUGCAUACGCUAUUAUUAUUAUACCUGCUGAUACUGUUGUUUUCUUAUGCUGCUAUUGCUUAUUUAUGCUGUUGUUGCUUACUUAUGCUGAUAUGCUCACAUAGGUUGGAUAUAUACCUGAGGUAUGAGUUUAGACACUGAUUUUCUUAUUGGUAAUAUGUAUAUAUCUCACAUGUUAUCCAUGUAGUUAUGAGCAGUACUGUAGCAGGUCUUUGCUACACCUGACAUUCUAUUACUAGCCUAGGAUAUGGUUUCAGGUAUGGACACUUAUUAUGAUAUCACUGUUGUAUCUGAUAUUUUCCCUACGAGACUGUAUACCUUUGUAUCUCUAAUUCUUUAUUAUGUUCAUGCACUAUCUGUCUAUUAUCCACUGAGCCUUAGUACUCACCACCCUGUAAAUUGAUUUAUUUUGACAGGUAGCAGGUAAAGGAUUGAUGGAGUCGCUUGGAGAUCCUGUCUGCCAGUCCCAUGUCAUAUCGAGUUUCUCCUUUCGUUAGUGUUUCCUUUCGUAUUGUUGGUUUUGUACUUGUUCUUGUAUUUGUGUAUUCUUUUAUAUGGAGUUUUGUUUUGUGGUAUCUUGUGUUUGGUUGGGUGAUGAUGUGUCAAGCCGAGCCGGCUCGCAGUGAGUUGUUUUGUUUAUUUCAUGCAUGUUCGUUAUUUUAUUGUUUUCACUGUGUUAUGUU